rnacentral:lncRNA from 1 species
AAUAAAAUGGUAUGAUCGAGUAAGAGGUUCUUACAUCACACUUCCAAGUUUUUGGGAGAAUGGCAGCAAGCGAGAGAGAUUAGAGGACGAAGAACUAUCCAGGUUGGACAUACGACGAUUGACAAUCAAGUCUGGCAGGCCCGAGCUACGGGAUCAUGGAAAUGUAAUGUAGAUGACAUCGUCUUUAGCAGUGGGUCCGAUGGUGGCUAUGGAGCAGUGAUUCGUGAUGCAUUCGGAACUGUUAUAUUGAUUUUACUGAACAAAUUUUCGGAAUGCAAGUCUUUCUUCGUUGUAGAGUUAUUAAGUUGUUGAAAUGCUCCACAGUAUAUUGUGGUCAAUGUCCACGAUCCGGAUACAUUAGAAAUAGACGUACAAUGAGUUUUUGUGACGCUGUCCUCGACUAAUAGAGAUGACUCAGAAUUCAACUUUAUCAUCGAAGAUUGCAGAACCUUGUUAAAGCGGCAAUCGAAUAUAUCUCUUAAUUGGGUUCGAUGACAAGAAAAUAAGUUGGCACACAAACUAGCGAGAACUGCACGAUGUUAUCCUAACUUUCGCUUUUGGGAGUCUUUCGCUCCCGUCAAUAUUG